rnacentral:rRNA from 1 species
GACGAACGCUGGCGGCGUGCUUAACACAUGCGAGUCGAACGCUGAAGCUCAGCUUUUGUUGGGUGGAUGAGUGGCGAACGGGUGAGUAACACGUGAGUAACCUGCCUCCUUCUUUGGGAUAACGCCCGGAAACGGGUGCUAAUACUGGAUAUUCACUGGUCUUCGCAUGGGGGUUGGUGGAAAGGGUUUUUCUGGUGGGGGAUGGGCUCGCGGCCUAUCAGCUUGUUGGUGGGGUGAUGGCCUACCAAGGCUUUGACGGGUAGCCGGCCUGAGAGGGUGACCGGUCACAUUGGGACUGAGAUACGGCCCAGACUCCUACGGGAGGCAGCAGUGGGGAAUAUUGCACAAUGGGCGCAAGCCUGAUGCAGCGACGCCGCGUGAGGGAUGGAGGCCUUCGGGUUGUGAACCUCUUUCACUCAUGGUCAAGCCGCAACAAUGGUUGUGGUGAGGGUAGUGGGUAAAGAAGCGCCGGCUAACUACGUG